rnacentral:rRNA from 1 species
GACGAACGCUGGCGGCGUGCCUAAUACAUGCAAGUCGAACGCACUCUCGUUUAGAUUGAAGGAGCUUGCUCCUGAUUGAUAAACAUUUGAGUGAGUGGCGGACGGGUGAGUAACACGUGGGUAACCUGCCCUAAAGUGGGGGAUAACAUUUGGAAACAGAUGCUAAUACCGCAUGAAACCUAACACCGCAUGGUGUAGGGUUGAAAGAUGGUUUCGGCUAUCACUUUAGGAUGGACCCGCGGUGCAUUAGUUAGUUGGUGAGGUAAAGGCUCACCAAGACCGUGAUGCAUAGCCGACCUGAGAGGGUAAUCGGCCACACUGGGACUGAGACACGGCCCAGACUCCUACGGGAGGCAGCAGUAGGGAAUCUUCCACAAUGGACGAAAGUCUGAUGGAGCAACGCCGCGUGAGUGAAGAAGGUUUUCGGAUCGUAAAACUCUAGUUGUUGGAGAAGAAUGUAUCUGAUAGUAACUGAUCAGGUAGUGACGGUAUCCAACCAGAAAGCCACGG